rnacentral:rRNA from 1 species
UACGAAGGGGCGUAGCGUUGUUCGGUAAUUACUGGCGGUAAAGACGCACGUAGGCGGAUAUUUAAGUUACAGGGGUGGAAAUACCCACGAGCUCAACUCUGGAACUGCCUUUGUAUACUGGGUAUCUUGAGUAUGGAAGAGGUAAGUGGAAUUGCGAGUGUAGAGGUGAAAUUCGUAGAUAUUCGCAGGAACACCAGUGGCGAAGGCGGCUUACUGGUCCAUUACUGACGCUGAGGUGCGAAAGCGUGGGGA